GUUUGACCAUAACGUGUUCACAUGACUGGAUGUAAACAUAUAGUUUUCUUUUAGUUUGUUAGCAUUGUAACAUGGUUCCAAUUUUUUAAAGCGCUUUAAUUGCGCUGACAGGAGGAUAUACCCAUGCAAAACGGGAAAGUAAAAUGGUUUAACGCAGAAAAAGGUUUCGGUUUUAUCGAAGUAGAGGGUGGAGACGAUGUAUUCGUACACUUUUCUGCUAUCCAAUCUGAAGGUUUCAAAUCUUUAGAUGAAGGUCAAGAAGUAUCUUUCGAAAUCGUUGAAGGUGCUCGUGGACCUCAAGCUGCUAACGUUGAAAAACUAUAAUAGCGCUAUAAAAGGGCCGAUGUAAUCGGCUCUUUUUUU
rnacentral:sRNA from 1 species